rnacentral:rRNA from 1 species
GCUGUCACUUAUAGAUGGAUCCGCGCUGCAUUAGCUAGUUGGUAAGGUAACGGCUUACCAAGGCAACGAUGCAUAGCCGACCUGAGAGGGUGAUCGGCCACACUGGAACUGAGACACGGUCCAGACUCCUACGGGAGGCAGCAGUAGGGAAUCUUCCGCAAUGGGCGAAAGCCUGACGGAGCAACGCCGCGUGAGUGAUGAAGGUCUUCGGAUCGUAAAACUCUGUUAUUAGGGAAGAACAUAUGUGUAAGUAACUGUGCACAUCUUGACGGUACCUAAUCAGAAAGCCACGGCUAACUACGUGCCAGCAGCCGCGGUAAUACGUAGGUGGCAAGCGUUAUCCGGAAUUAUUGGGCGUAAAGCGCGCGUAGGCGGUUUUUUAAGUCUGAUGUGAAAGCCCACGGCUCAACCGUGGAGGGUCAUUGGAAACUGGAAAACUUGAGUGCAGAAGAGGAAAGUGGAAUUCCAUGUGUAGCGGUGAAAUGCGCAGAGAUAUGGAGGAACACCAGUGGCGAAGGCGACUUUCUGGUCUGUAACUGACGCUGAUGUGCGAAAGCGUGGGGAUCAAACAGGAUUAGAUACCCUGGUAGUCCACGCCGUAAACGA